rnacentral:piRNA from 1 species
UUUGAGAACAGCAGGGGAGAGUUUG